rnacentral:pre_miRNA from 1 species
GAUGUCUCCCAGCCCAAGGUGCAGUGCUGCAUCUCUGGUCAGUUGUGAGUCUGAGAUGAAGCACUGUAGCUCGGGAAGGGAGGAGCUGUC